CGGCGGACGGGUGAGUAACACGUGGAUAACCUACCUAUAAGACUGGGAUAACUUCGGGAAACCGGAGCUAAUACCGGAUAAUAUAUUGAACCGCAUGGUUCAAUAGUGAAAGACGGUUUUGCUGUCACUUAUAGAUGGAUCCGCGCCGCAUUAGCUAGUUGGUAAGGUAACGGCUUACCAAGGCAACGAUGCGUAGCCGACCUUAGAGGGUGAUCGGCCACACUGGAACUGAGACACGGUCCAGACUCCUACGGGAGGCAGCAGCC
rnacentral:rRNA from 1 species